GGCCUUGUUAGCUCAGUCGGAAG
rnacentral:tRNA from 2 species